UCCUCUGUAGUUCAGUCGGUAGAACGGCGGACUGUUAAUCCGUAUGUCACUGGUUCGAGUCCAGUCAGAGGA
rnacentral:tRNA from 37 species